AACGGAAUAUUGCUCUCAUUCAUCAAUGAUAUUCUUAUUUCUGUCCUCUGGAAGUUCCCGAACCUUUCCUCCUACAACAAGCACUGUAUAAACAACCUUUGAUUAAAUAAAAGCACCUGCAGAAUUUCUGGUCAUUUGGGAACCAGUUUUGUUUUACAUGAUCAAUGUCUGCAAUUAGUUUAAAAGGGUAGGAAAGAGAUUUUUGUGUGAGAUUAUAAAUGCACCCCAGCCUCUUUAACAGUCAACAAGAGUGAAUCAGCUUUACAGGUACUCCUCCUCUCAUUUAUACUGUCAUUUUAAAAGCCCAGCAUUAUUAUUAGUUUGUUCAUGAUUAUACGCAAGGCAAUAAAUUCCUUUUUAAAAAUAUUUGUAUAUAUGUACUAUAUUCAAUAAGAAUUUUUUAAAAGUUCAGCAUUCCAUUCUCUUACGUGACUAAAGGGCCUGUGGUAUGUUAAAUUUAGACUCUUAGCUGCAUUUCUGGGGGAAAGGAAUACUAGGCAAACUGAGGCAAUCUAUCCAAAACAAUGCUAACUAAACAUUAGACUUUAUUCUAGAUUUCUGAAUCUUAGCACUGUGGAAUUUUGCAUGUGCUGGCAAAUGUGCAGGAGAAUUAUGAUACGAGAGGCUUAGCUGUAUUAAGGGGGAGACAGUCGGGAAGUGGUUCGGAAAGUCAGUAGACAGCCAUUGGGACUCUAGGAAGCAAGGAGGAAGAGAAGCCAAGGAACAACAGCUUGCAAGGUUGCAGGUAAGUAGACACUUGGGACGGAGCAGAUAAGUCAGUGGCAAGUCAGUCUGGAGACUGGAGAAGAUCUAAGCGGUGUCUAAGGAGCGAAGGUCUAAGAAGCUGUUGGGAGUGGCGGGUGAUUUAUCCAGAAACGUGAUUUAGUUAUAUUUGUUUUAAAUGUUUUGUUGAUUUUAUAUUUGUUUUUCUUGGUGGUUUUAUGUAUAUUUGUUUUUAAUUGAUUUGUGUAUUUUAAGUCAUGGUUUAUAUAUAAUUUGACUUGUAUAAUACUUGGGAGAAAUUUUUUGAGAAGUGGGUUCGUACAUUUUCUAAAUAAUUGUCGGAGGAAUUUAAAGAGGUGUUGUAUACAGUGGUACCUCGGGUUAAGUACUUAAUUCGUUCCGGAGGUCCGUUCUUAACCUGAAACUGUUCUUAACCUGCAGCACCACUUUCGCUAGUAGGGCCUCCUGCUGCCGCUGCGCCGCCGGAGCACAAUUUCUGUUCUCAUCCUGAAGCAAAGUUCUUAACCCGAGGUACUAUUUCUGGGUAGCGGACGUAUGUAACCUGAAGCGUAUGUAACCCGAGGUACCACUGUAUAUAUAAGUCAACUUGCAAAAAGUGCAGCUGGUGGCCACGAACCAGGUGUCUGCAGUAAUUAAAUGUUCAAACCGCCGCUGGUGUACCCGUUUUCUUCUGGGCUGGCAAAUGCUCCGUACGGAGCCCUCAUGUGCGAAAAGCUCCCCCUGGUUUGUGACAGAACAUGCACCUGAGGUGCUCUGCGUACAAGCCAGCUGCACCACAUUGUUGGAUUUGUGUGGCUGUUAACAGGAGACACCCCUCGGAGGCAGGUAAGCAAUCUUGCACUAUGUGCUGAUACUUCCUGCUCCUCCGGAGGCAUAAACCUGUUAAUUUAGCACCUUUUGAUUUGCAUUUCCUAAACACUGUCAAUCUCCUCAGUGGAAAGUUUGGUGCUUUUGGAGGUGGGGAACACCUCAGAAUGUACCUUCUAUCAGUAACUCGUGUUUUUAUGGAAGUACAGAAGAGGUUCCAUGGCUGCCCUUCUUACACUAGGUUGGAUUUUUGUGGGUUGCUUUUAUACCACAUAUGUAUUCCCUGAACCCAAUUUUGUACUUUUUUAGAGGGGGGGAAAAACACAUUGAAAACAAAAUGUUCAGUGUAUGUACGUAUGUAUGUAUAUAUAAAUAUAUAUAUGUAUGUAUGUAUGUAUAGGGGGAGAGAGAGAAAGAAAACUGCAUGAUUAUACUGUAGUUAAACGUUCCAUUCUUGAAAACCAAGGGAAGGAGUCGCUGCUCUCGGGAAUUAUACAUUUUGUCCAUAGUUACUUGUAUGAAGACACAUGUUGUAUGUAAAUAAAUGUGGGGUUACCCCUCCCACCUCUCUUUUGCCCCUAAAGAAUUGUGAUAUUCUGUUAUUUAUUGAGCAGAGGAAAUAUUGAUCCACUGGUGUCCAAAGGGGGCAGUAGCUGUGUUAAGUCUUUUGCAGCAAAAAAAUAUCCAAAAGCCUUGUGUGGCACCUUAAUCAUAAGUUGCCAGCUUGGAGGUUUCCAGAUGUUUUGGCCUGUCAUUCCCAUCAGCCCCAGCUGGCAUAGUCCAUACUGGCAGGGGGGUGAUGGGGGUUAGAACCCAUAGAACCGGAGAGUUUGAAGGGACCAUGAGGGUCAUCUAGUCCAACCCCCUUUUGCCCAACGUAAAACUCGAACCCACGACCCUGGGAUUUAAGAGUCUCUACCGACUGAGCUGUGGGCCAAAACACUCUGUUGGCAAGAAAGCCGUGUUAGCCUUUAAGGUGCCUCCAGAUUCCUUGCCAUCUUCUAACAUUUUUUCCGGAUAUUCUGUCAGAAGCAAAACGAGUUCUCAGUAGUUGAACAUUAUUUGUUCUUCGCUUUGUUGAUGAUGACCAGUGAAUGCUUGUUAUUCGUUUUCUCCCUCUUUUUAUACUCAACAAAUAUCGGGAGGUUAUCGGGAACGUCUUGAUUCUACCCUGUAGCUGAAUAUGCAGGAUCCUGUUACACUUCUGUCAGUGAUGUAUACUAGCUUGUCACUGCCUUUUAAAACUUUUUUAAAAAAAGAAACUGUGUACCUCUUAAAGCCUCACGCUUGUCGAUGUGCACUUUUUGACCUGUGUAACAAAUGGGCAGUCACUAUGCAGUGAUGGUGUUUUAUUUUGGGGGGUUUUUUUGUACAGAGUGAAAGGAAUAAUAAAGGUUACCUUUUUAUUACAAGA